UACUAGCCCAAUGCUCUUCCAACUGAGCUACUCAGGUCAGUCCUGACCGCGUAGCUCAGUUGGAAGAGCAUUGGGCUAGUA
rnacentral:miRNA from 1 species